CGGCAAGUGGAAGCGGUGUCGCUCAACGGAUAAAAGGUACCCCGGGGAUAACAGGCUGAUCUUCCCCAAGAGUCCAUAUCGACGGGAUGGUUUGGCACCUCGAUGUCGGCUCGUCGCAUCCUGGGGCUGGAGUAGGUCCCAAGGGUUGGGCUGUUCGCCCAUUAAAGCGGCACGCGAGCUGGGUUUAGAACGUCGUGAGACAGUUCGGUCUCUAUCCGCCGCGCGCGUUAGAAUCUUGAGGAAGGCUGUCCCUAGUACGAGAGGACCGGGACGGACGAACCUCUGGUGUGCCAGUUGUUCCACCAGGAGCACGGCUGGUUGGCUACGUUCGGAAGGGAUAACCGCUGAAAGCAUCUAAGCGGGAAGCCUGUUCCAAGAUUAGGAUUCUCACCACCUUGAGUGGGUAAGACCCCCUACAGACUAUGGGGUUGAUAGGCCAGAACUGGAAGCGCAGUAAUGCGUGCAGGUGACUGGUACUAAUCGGUCGAGGACUUACCACACA
rnacentral:rRNA from 1 species